GCCGGGCGUGGUUGCGCAUGCCUGUAAUCCCAGCUACUCAGGAGGCUGAGGCAGGAGAAUUGCUUGAACCCAGGAGGGCAGAGGUUGCAGUGAGCUGAGAUCGCGCCAUUGCACUCCAGCCUGGGCAACAAGAGCAAAACUCUGUCUCAA
ensembl:misc_RNA Metazoa_SRP Metazoan signal recognition particle RNA